CCCUUAGAUGUUCUGGGCUGCACGCGCGCUACACUGAUGCGCUCAACGAGUUUUAACCUUGCCUGGAAAGGUUGGGUAAUCUUUUUAAAACGCAUCGUGAUGGGGAUAGAUUAUUGCAAUUAUUAAUCUUCAACGAGGAAUUCCUAGUAAACGCAAGUCAUCAGCUUGCAUUGAUUACGUCCCUGCCCUUUGUACACACCGCCCGUCGCACCUACCGAUUGAAUGGUCCGGUGAAAUCUCGGGACGGCGGCUUGGUCGCUUGCGUCCGACUGCUGAAACUUGAUUAAACCAUAUCAUUUAGAGGAAGGUGAAGUCGUAACA
rnacentral:rRNA from 1 species